rnacentral:rRNA from 1 species
UGGUUAUUAUAAUUUACUAUAUUUUUAAGUUCAGUUGGUAAAUAAUUAAAGUAAAUUUAUUUUUAUUUGUUAUUGUAUUUAUUAGAUUAAAUAAUUUUAGUAGUAGUAAAUUAGUACGGUGCCGGAAUAUUGUGAUAUAAUUUUUUACAAAGAAAGUAGAAUUAUUUUUUUGUACCUUUUGUAUCAGGGUUUAUUAAAAUUUGAACAUGUAAAUUGUUGUUCUCGAAUUCAAUGGAGCUAAAAUUUUAUGAAAUUUAUUGUUGUAAAAAUAUUUUUAAUUAAAUUAUAGUAGUGAUAUGUUACUCGACAUUGAAGAUAUCUAGUUUCUUAAGAUUUAUAUUUAAUUUAUAAAUUUAAGUUUUAUUAAGUUUUUUAUUAAAUUAAGUAAACUUAAAUUUUUAAAACUUCAGGGAUAAGCUUGGAGUUUGUAGUUAUAAAUAAGUUAUUUUAUUACAAUUAGUAGGAUUAGAAGUUUUUAUCUUUUUUUAAAGUGUUAUAAUUAAUUUUUGUUAAAAUAAAAUUUUUUUAUUUUUAAUUUAUUUAUUGGGAUAUUUUAUGUAAUUAUUAAUAAAAGAAAUAAUGAUAAAAUUAGUAUUAUUUAUUUUUUGAAUAAAAGUUUUAUUGAGAUUAGAAUAAGGAAUUCAGCAAAAUUAUACUCGCCUGUUUAUCAAAAACAUGUCUUUUUGAUUAUAAUAUAAAGUCUGGCCUGCCCACUGAUGUUUAUUGAAGGGCCGCAGUAUCUUGACUGUGCAAAGGUAGCAUAAUCAUUUGCCUUUUAAUUAAAGGCUGGAAUGAAUGGUUGAACGAAGUAUAAUCUGUCUCAUUCUUAAAAUUUAAGAAUUUAGCUUUUUAGUUAGAAGGCUGAAAUGUUGUUAGAGGACGAGAAGACCCUAUAGAACUUUAUGAUUAGUUAUUUAAAAAAAUUUAGGUGUAUAUAUUUUUUUAUUUCGGCUAAUUAUUUUGUUGGGGUGACAGGAAGAUUAGAUUAACUCUUUUGAUAUUAUAACAUUGAUUGAUGAAUUUUUGAUCCAUUUGUAAUGAUUAUUAGAAUAAGUUACCUUAGGGAUAACAGCGUGAUUUUAUCGGAGAGUUCAUAUCGAUGAUAAAGGUUGCGACCUCGAUGUUGAAUUAAAGAAAUUUUUGAGUGCAGAAGCUUGAAAUAAUAGGUCUGUUCGACCUUUAAAUCUUUACAUGAUUUGAGUUCAGACCGGCGUGAGCCAGGUCGGUUUCUAUCCUUAAUAAGUUACUAUAAUUUAGUACGAAAGGACCAAUUAUAGGAAAAAUUUUUUGUUUAUUGAAUAAAAUU